rnacentral:lncRNA from 12 species
CUGAGAUUGUUUUGCCCAUUUGCUAAAAAUGACUAUCUCUACCACUUGGUUAAUUAUGUGAUUACAGCACCCAGUGACAAGGAGAAAAUUAAAAAUCCAUGCUGCAUUUUCUAUAACACUUUAUAGCUCUAUGCAAAAGAGGGCAAAUGCAAUUUAGCUGAGCUGUGGUGAACAAGAGCUGUUUCCUUUCCCUCGUUUCAGCCCCUCCCUCAUCUUCCCCUGGAGAGAAGCUGUGUUAGCAGUUGACUAAAGCAGGGAAGAGAGCAGGUGUGGACGAAAACAUAAAUUGCCAUUAUCCCUGACAAUCCUGGACAGUGCCACCCACAGAGAAGGCGCUCAGCCAGAUUUCCCCCUCCUAAUUUCAAUAAAGGCCAACAAGUUCUUCAAACCGGACUCUCUCAUCUGGAAAACUGGAAUGAAGUCCCCCACCCCAUCUCCUUGAGAAUUAUCAAAAGGCAGUUUAGGACCGAGGAACCAAAUGAAGAACAGACAUCAACGUUAUUGACAGCAUCUCUACCUUCUUCAACAGAUGUUUGUGGAUGCAAAGAUUCAUGGAGGAUACAAAGGUGUGUGCUGCGACUUCAGCAUCCAUCCUGCUCUCUGCGCCGGGAGCCUGACCCACAUGAGAUGCAUGGACGUGUUCUCUCACUCUGCAGUUAGAUGAACAGCCGCCGUCCACAGGUCAUUGGAAGGACAGGAAGCCUAGGGUCAGGGCACUUCUUUUUAUGACUUCUUCCUACCUUGUCGCUACAUGUUGGCUGUUCCCCUUGAUUAAAA